rnacentral:rRNA from 1 species
UGGGGAAUAUUGGACAAUGGGGGCAACCCUGAUCCAGCCAUGCCGCGUGAGUGAUGAAGGCCUUAGGGUUGUAAAGCUCUUUUAUCCGGGACGAUAAUGACGGUACCGGAGGAAUAAGCCCCGGCUAACUUCGUGCCAGCAGCCGCGGUAAUACGAAGGGGGCUAGCGUUGCUCGGAAUCACUGGGCGUAAAGGGCGCGUAGGCGGUCUUUUAAGUCGGGGGUGAAAGCCUGUGGCUCAACCACAGCAUUGCCUUCGAUACUGAGAGACUUGAGUUCGGAAGAGGUUGGUGGAACUGCGAGUGUAGAGGUGAAAUUCGUAGAUAUUCGCAAGAACACCGGUGGCGAAGGCGGCCAACUGGUCCGACACUGACGCUGAGGCGCGAAAGCGUGGGGAGCAAACAGG